ACUCAAAUGAAUAGACGGGGACCCGCACAAGCAGAGGAGCAUGUGGUUUAAUUCGACGGUAAGCGAAGAACCUUACCUAGGUUUGAAAUGUAGCUGCAAGCCCCCAGAAACGGGGGCCGCCUUCGAGGGUGCUACACAGGUGCUGCAUGGUUGCCGUCAGCUCGUGUCGUGAGAUGUACCGUUAAGUCGGGUAACGAGCGCAACCCCUGUCCCGUGUUGAUUUUCACGGGAGACCGCCUCGGAUAACGGGGAGGAAGGUGGGGAUGACGUCAAAUCAGCAUGGCUCUUACACCUAGGGCUACACACGUGCUACAAUGGCAUGGACAAUGGGCCGCCAAGUCGCAAGACGGAGCCAAUCCCACCAAACCAUGCCUCAGUUCGGAUUGGGGGCUGCAAUUCGCCCCCAUGAAGCUGGAUUUGCUAGUAACGGCCGAUCAGCCACGCGGCCGUGAAUACGUUCUCGGGUCUUGCACACACCGCCCGU
rnacentral:rRNA from 1 species